GAGAUAGCUUGCCAGGGACUUGAAGUACUUCAGACAGAGUGCCUGCCCUCUGGCAUGUCAACCAUAAUGUGAGAUACAGAGAAAUCACUAUGACUUGCCUUUCAAAGCAUUGUAUAAUGGAAGCAGCACCGAUGCAGCUAUGGGGUAAUGUCAGAAUUAGACUAGAGAGCAAGAAAACAGCCAGAGUGGCUGAAAGGGGACGAAACCAGAGUUUCGUUAGCCAAGGUCAAAGUGCACACUGAACAAGAGUUGAACAGUGAGGAAGGCUGCAGGGGCUGAGAAGCUACUGGAUCUUUGGUUUUCCUGCCCAUGACCAAGGGUGUGAGACUCUUCACACUCUCCCAGGAUUUGACCAGGAUGCACUUUGGAAAGAUGUGCCAUGUUCAGUUAUACAUGGGACCGUGCAAGAGAUGCUUUACUGAGGAGAGCCCUGUAGCACCUCUUCCUGGAAGUGUGGUUCCCUGGUGAAGUUCACUGGGGAUGAUUCCGGCUUGAUUCAACCCAGUGCCUGCAAAUCCU
rnacentral:lncRNA from 1 species